rnacentral:rRNA from 1 species
AGAGUUUGAUCAUGGCUCAGAUUGAACGCUGGCGGCAGGCCUAACACAUGCAAGUCGAGCGGAAACGAGUUAUCUGAACCUUCGGGGAACGAUAACGGCGUCGAGCGGCGGACGGGUGAGUAAUGCCUAGGAAAUUGCCCUGAUGUGGGGGAUAACCAUUGGAAACGAUGGCUAAUACCGCAUGAUGCCUACGGGCCAAAGAGGGGGACCUUCGGGCCUCUCGCGUCAGGAUAUGCCUAGGUGGGAUUAGCUAGUUGGUGAGGUAAGGGCUCACCAAGGCGACGAUCCCUAGCUGGUCUGAGAGGAUGAUCAGCCACACUGGAACUGAGACACGGUCCAGACUCCUACGGGAGGCAGCAGUGGGGAAUAUUGCACAAUGGGCGCAAGCCUGAUGCAGCCAUGCCGCGUGUGUGAAGAAGGCCUUCGGGUUGUAAAGCACUUUCAGUCGUGAGGAAGGUAGUGUAGUUAAUAGCUGCAUUAUUUGACGUUAGCGACAGAAGAAGCACCGGCUAACUCCGUGCCAGCAGCCGCGGUAAUACGGAGGGUGCGAGCGUUAAUCGGAAUUACUGGGCGUAAAGCGCAUGCAGGUGGUUUGUUAAGUCAGAUGUGAAAGCCCGGGGCUCAACCUCGGAAUAGCAUUUGAAACUGGCAGUUAAGAGAAAUUUUCACGGGUGUAAGGCGGUGGAAUUGCGGUAGAGACUCUGAAGGAAGUACCCGGGUGGCCGAAAGGCGGCCCCCCUUGGACAGGAUACUGACACUUCAGAUGCGAAAGCGUUGGGGAGCAAACAGGAUUAGAUACCCUGGUAGUCCACGCCGUAAACGAUGUCUACUUGGAGGUUGUGGCCUUGAGCCGUGGCUUUCGGAGCUAACGCGUUAAGUAGACCGCCUGGGGAGUACGGUCGCAAGAUUAAAACUCAAAUGAAUUGACGGGGGCCCGCACAAGCGGUGGAGCAUGUGGUUUAAUUCGAUGCAACGCGAAGAACCUUACCUACUCUUGACAUCCAGAGAACUUUCCAGAGAUGGAUUGGUGCCUUCGGGAACUCUGAGACAGGUGCUGCAUGGCUGUCGUCAGCUCGUGUUGUGAAAUGUUGGGUUAAGUCCCGCAACGAGCGCAACCCUUAUCCUUGUUUGCCAGCGAGUAACGUCGGGAACUCCAGGGAGACUGCCGGUGAUAAACCGGAGGAAGGUGGGGACGACGUCAAGUCAUCAUGGCCCUUACGAGUAGGGCUACACGCGUGCUACAAUGGCGCAUACAGAGGGCAGCCAACUUGCGAAAGUGAGCGAGUCCCAAAAAGUGCGUCGUAGUCCGGAUUGGAGUCUGCAACUCGACUCCAUGAAGUCGGAAUCGCUAGUAAUCGUGGAUCAGAAUGCCACGGUGAAUACGUUCCCGGGCCUUGUACACACCGCCCGUCACACCAUGGGAGUGGGCUGCAAAAGAAGUAGGUAGUUUAACCUUCGGGGGGACGCUUACCACUUUGUGGUUCAUGACUGGGGUGAAGUCGUAACAAGGUAGCCGUA